GGCGGCGUAGCUCAGUUGGCAGAGCAUGGGAUUCAUAAGCCCAGGGUCACUGGUUCAAGUCCAGUCGCCGCUA
rnacentral:tRNA from 1 species